GACGAACGCUGGCGGCGCGCUUAACACAUGCAAGGCGAGCGAGAACCAGACCUUCGGGUCUGGGGACAGCGGCGAACGGGUGAGUAACACGUGGGUAAUCAACCCUCGGUACUGGGAUAGCCCGGGGAAACCCGGAUUAAUACCGGAUGGCCCUUCGGAUCUUCGGUUCUGAAGGAAAAGGUAGCUUCGGCCUCCGACCGAGGACGAGCCCGCGGCGGAUUAGCUUGUUGGUGGGGGAACGGCCUACCAAGUCGGCGAUCCGUAGCUGGUCUGAGAGGACGAUCAGCCACACGAGGACUGAGACACGGCCCAAACUUCUACGGAAGGCAGCAGUGGGGAAUCGUGCGCUAAUUCGGGAAACCGUGACGAAGCGACGCGGCGUGAGGGAAGAAGGCCUUCGGGUUGUAAACCUCUUUCAGGAGGGACGAAGCUACUCGGGUUAAUAGCCCAGAGGGUGACGGUACCUUCAGAAGAAGCCCCGGCUAACUACGUGCAAGCAGCCGCCGUAA
rnacentral:rRNA from 1 species